CACGUAGGGCGCAAGCGUUGUCCGGAAUUAUUGGGCGUAAAGAGCUCGUAGGCGGUCUGUUGCGUCCGCUGUGAAAACUCGGGGCUUAACCCCGAGCCUGCAGUGGAUACGGGCAGACUAGAGGUAGGUAGGGGAGAAUGGAAUUCCCGGUGUAGCGGUGAAAUGCGCAGAUAUCGGGAGGAACACCGGUGGCGAAGGCGGUUCUCUGGGCCUUACCUGACGCUGAGGAGCGAAAGCAUGGGGAGCGAACAGG
rnacentral:rRNA from 1 species